rnacentral:rRNA from 1 species
UACGUAGGGGGCAAGCGUUGUCCGGAUUUAUUGGGCGUUAAAGAGCUCGUAGGCGGCUUGUCGCGUCGACUGUGAAAUCCCGCGGCUCAACCGCGGGUCUGCAGUCGAUACGGGCAGGCUAGAGUUCGGUAGGGGAGACUGGAAUUCCUGGUGUAGCGGUGAAAUGACGCAGAGUAUCAGGAGGAACACCGGUGGCGAAGGCGGGUCUCUGGGCCGAUACUGACGCUGAGGAGCGAAAGCGUGGGGAGCGAAACAGG